rnacentral:rRNA from 1 species
CGGACGGGUGAGUAACGCGUAUGCAACCUACCCUUGAGCGGGGGACAAUCACGGGAAACCGUGGCUAAUACCGCAUAAAAUCUCGGUUGCGCCUGCAACCGAGAUCAAAGCCUUCGGGCGCUCUUGGAUGGGCAUGCGUCGGAUUAGCUUGUUGGUGAGGUAGAAGCUCACCAAGGCAACGAUCCGUAGCUGGUCUGAGAGGAUGAUCAGCCACACUGGCACUGAGACACGGGCCAGACUCCUACGGGAGGCAGCAGUGGGGAAUCUUGCACAAUGGAGGAAACUCUGAUGCAGCCACGCCGCGUGGAGGAAGACACCCCUAUGGGGCGUAAACUCCUUUUCUGCCGGAAGAAAACCCUGGUCUCCAGGGCGUGACGGUACGGCAGGAAUAAGCACCGGCUAACUCCGUGCCAGCAGCCGCGGUAAUACGGAGGGUGCAAGCGUUGUCCGGAAUUACUGGGUGUAAAGGGUGCGCAGGCGGGGCAGCAAGUCAGAGGUGAAAGCCCACGGCUUAACCGUGGAAGUGCCUUUGAAACUGCUGUUCUUGAGUCCCGGAGAGGUCGUCGGAAUUCGUGGUGUAGCGGUGAAAUGCGUAGAUAUCACGAGGAACACCAGAGGCGAAAGCGGACGACUGGACGGGUACUGACGCUCAGGCACGAAAGCGUGGGGAGCAAACAGGAUUAGAUACCCUGGUAGUCCACGCCGUAAACGAUGGAUGUUAGACGUUGCCUCCUCUGAGGGGCAGUGUCCAAGCUAACGCGUUAAACAUCCCACCUGGGGAGUACGAUCGCAAGGUUGAAACUCAAAGGAAUUGACGGGGGCCCGCACAAGCGGUGGAGCAUGUGGCUUAAUUCGAUGCAACGCGAAGAACCUUACC